rnacentral:tRNA from 1 species
GCCCCCAUCGUCUAGAGGCCUAGGACACCGGCCUUUCACGCCGGCAGCAGCGGUUCGAAUCCGCUUGGGGGUAC